rnacentral:rRNA from 1 species
GACGAACGCUGGCGGCGUGCUUAACACAUGCAAGUCGAACGCUUAAGCUCAGCUUGCUGGGUGGAUGAGUGGCGAACGGGUGAGUAACACGUGAGUAACCUGCCCUCUUCUUUGGGAUAACGCCCGGAAACGGGUGCUAAUACUGGAUAUUCACUGAUUCUCGCAUGGGGGUUGGUGGAAAGGUUUUUUCUGGUGGGGGAUGGGCUCGCGGCCUAUCAGCUUGUUGGUGGGGUGAUGGCCUACCAAGGCUUUGACGGGUAGCCGGCCUGAGAGGGUGACAGGUCACAUUGGGACUGGGAUACGGCCCAGACUACUACGGGAGGCAGCAGUGGGGAAUAUUGCACAAUGGGCGAAAGCCUGAUGCAGCGACGCCGCGUGAGGGAUGGAGGCCUUCGGGUUGUAAACCUCUUUCGCUCAUGGUCAAGCCGCAGCUUUGGGUUGUGGUGAGGGUAGUGGGUAAAGAAGCGCCGGCUAACUACGUG